UCAAGCUAAUAAGAGCACAGGGUGGAUGCCCAGGCACCAAACGCCGACGAAAGACGUGGCAAGCUGCGAAAAGUCACGGGGAACCGCAAGCAGGUAUUGAUCCGUGAACGUCUGAAUGGGGAAACCCGGCGGGUUAACAGCCCGUCACUAUUAACUGAAUCAAUAGGUUAAUAGGGGGAACGCGGGGAACUGAAACAUCUCAGUACCCGUAGGAAGAGAAAAUAAAGAAUGAUUUCCUAAGUAGCGGCGAGCGAACGGGAAAGAGGCCAAACCGAAGGGCUUGCUCUUCGGGGUUGUGGAUCAGCAAAAAGGACGGAAGACCUUAGCAGAAGAGGAUUGGAAAGUCCCGCCAGAGAGGGUAAAAGCCCCUUACGCGAAAAGGUCAAACGACGAGCUGACACCAGAGUACCGCAGGACACGAGAAAUCCGGUGGGAAGCCGGGAGGACCACCUCCCAAGCCUAAAUACGAAUUGGUGACCGAUAGCGCAUAGUACCGUGAGGGAAAGGUGAAAAGAACCCCGGGAGGGGAGUGAAAAAGAACCUGAAACCCUGUGUUUACAAGCAGUGAAAGUGCGAGCAAGGCACGAUCACGUACUUUUUGUAGAACGGACCGGCGAGUUACGUUAUGCAGCAAGGUUAAGAACUGAAGGUUCGGAGCCGAAGCGAAAGCGAGUCUGAACAGGGCGAUAGUUGCAUGACGUAGACCCGAAACCGGGUGACCUAUCCAUGAGCAGGUUGAAGUGGAGGUAAAGCUCCAUGGAGGACCGAACCAGACGUCUGUUGAAAAAGGCGGGGAUGACUUGUGGAUAGGGGAGAAAUUCCAAUCGAACCCGGAGAUAGCUGGUUCUCCUCGAAAUAGCUUUAGGGCUAGCCUCAUGGAUCAUUGAUGGGGGUAGAGCACUGAAUGUGCGCGGGGGCCACAAAGCCUACCAAACGCUAUCAAACUUCGAAUACCAUACAAUGCAGACCAUGGGAGUCAGUCCGCGAGAGAUAAGUUCCGCGGGCAAAAGGGGAACACCCCAGAUCAACCGCUAAGGUCCCCAAGUUCACGUUAAGUGGAGAAGGAUGUGGAAUUGCACAGACAACCAGGAUGUUGGCUCAGAAGCAGCCACACAUUUAAAGAGUGCGUAAUAGCUCACUGGUCGAGUGAUUGUGCGCCGAAGAUGUCCGGGGCUAAACGUGACACCGAAGCGAUGGGUGCAUCUGAAAGGAUGCGCGGUAGAGGAGCAAUGUGCAGAGGCAGAAGCCGUAUCGAGAGGCACGGUGGACACUGCACAAGAGAGAAUGCCGGUAUGAGUAGCGAGAGGCAUGCGAGAAACAUGCCCGUCGAAAGCCCAAGGUUUCCUGGGGAAGGUUCAUCCGCCCAGGGUAAGUCGGGGCCUAAGCCGAGGACGGAAGUCGUAGGCGAUGGACAGCAGGUGUAGAUUCCUGCACUACCGAUGGAAUGAAGCAGUGACACAGAAGGAUAACUCGAGCAGGGUGAUGGUCAACCCUGUGCAAGCAUCAAGGUUGGGUUGUAGUGAAGUACGCAACCCUACAAGCUGAGGUGUGAUGCGGACCGAAAUUUCAGUAGGGAAGCGAGUGAGUUCACGCUGGCGAGAAAAGCUGCUAGUACAUCCAAAGGUACCCGUACCGGAAACCGACGCAGGUGGGCGAGGAGAGAAUCCUGAGACGAACGGGAGAACCCUUGUUAAGGAACUCGGCAAAAUGACCCCGUAACUUCGGGAUAAGGGGUGCCUGCGAGAGCAGGCCGCAGAGAAUAGUCACAAGCGACUGUUUAGCAAAAACACAGGUAUCUGCGAAAGCGAGAGCUGACGUAUAGGUGCUGACACCUGCCCGGUGCUGGAAGGUUAAGGGAACAUGUUAGAGCAAUCGAAGCAUCGAACCGAAGCCCCAGUAAACGGCGGCCGUAACUAUAACGGUCCUAAGGUAGCGAAAUUCCUUGUCGGGUAAGUUCCGACCCGC
rnacentral:rRNA from 1 species